rnacentral:rRNA from 1 species
AACGUAGACCUCGAGCGUUAUCCGGAUUUAUUGGGCGUAAAGAGCAUGUAGGAGGUUUCGCGCGUCUUCUGUUAAAGCCCACCGCCUAACGGUGGAAGUGCAGGAGAUACGGCAUGACUAGAGGAGGUUAGAGGUGCAUGGAACGCACGGUGUAGGGGUGAAAUCCGUUGAUAUCGUGCGGAACACCAAAGGCGAAGGCAGUGCGCUGGGACCUUCCUGACUCUGAGAUGCGAAAGCGUGGGGAGCAAAAAGGAUUAGAUACCCUUGUAGUCCACGCCCUAAACGAUGCCUGCUUGGUGUUUCGAGUAUCGACCCUCGGAGCGCCGGAGCUAACGCGUUAAGCAGGCCGCCUGGGAAGUACGGCCGCAAGGCUAAAACUCAAAGGAAUAGACGGGGACUCGCACAAGCGGUGGAACAUGAGGUUUAAUUCGAUAGCAAACGAGGAACCUUACCAGGGCUUGAAAUGCCUGUCGACGGGAGACGGAAACGUUUCCCUUCUCACAAGGACGGCAGGCGCAGGUGCUGCAUGGUUGUCGUCAGCUCGUGCUUUGAAGUGUUCCCUUAAGUGGGGUAACGAGCGCAACCCCUAUCGAGUGUUACAAGUGUCACUCGGAACUGCCCAGCUUUUUGGACGGGAAACGGAAAGUUUUUCCUGUUCGUUUCCAGAAAGCUGGGAGGAAGGAGGGGAUGACGUCAAAUCCGCAUGGCCCUUUGAUGCCCUGGGCUACACUCGUGUUACAAUGGCGGUGACAAUGGGUCGCCAACCCGCAAGGGGGAGCUAAUCCCAUCAAACAUCGCCCCAGUUCGGAUUGGGGGCUGCAACCUGCCCCCAUGAAGCCGGAAUCGCUAGUAAUCGCGGAUCAGCCACGCCGCGGUGAAUACGUUCUCGAGUCC